UGUCAGGGCCAGAUAGGUGUUAGGGCCAGAUAGGUGUCAGGGCCAGAUAGGUGUCAGGGCCAGAUAGGUGUCAGGGCCAGAUAGGUGUCAGGGCCAGAUAGGUGUUAGGGCCAGAUAGGUGUUAGGGCCAGAUAGGUGUCAGGGCCAGAUAGGUGUCAGGGCCAGAUAGGUGUCAGGGCCAGAUAGGUGUCAGGGCCAGAUAGGUGUCAGGGCCAGAUAGGUGUCAGGGCCAGAUAGGUGUCAGGGCCAGAUAGGUGUCAGGGCCAGAUAGGUGUUAGGGCCAGAUAGGUGUCAGGGCCAGAUAGGUGUCAGGGCCAGAUAGGUGUCAGGGCCAGAUAGGUGUCAGGGCCAGA